GUASGUWGMAAGCGUUGUCCGGAUUUAUUGGGCGUAAAGAGCGUGUAGGCGGCUAGGUAGGUCCGUUGUGAAAACUCGAGGCUCAACCUCGAGACGCCGAUGGAAACCAUCUGGCUAGAGUCCGGAAGAGGAGAGUGGAAUUCCUGGUGUAGCGGUGAAAUGCGCAGAUAUCAGGAAGAACACCCGUGGCUAAGGCGGCUCUCUAGUACGGUACUGACGCUGAGACGCGAAAGCGUGGGGAGCGAACAGGAUUAKAUACCCUGGUAGUCCACGCCGUAAACGAUGGGUGCUAGGUGUGGGAGGUGUCGACUCCUCCCGUGCCGAAGCUAAMGCWUUAAKCACCCCRCCUGGGGAGUAKGGCCGCAWGGCUA
rnacentral:rRNA from 1 species